GUUUACUGUGAGUGGUAGGAGAGCGUUCUGUAAGCCUGCGAAGGUGUCUUGUAAAGGAUGCUGGAGGUAUCAGAAGUGCGAAUGCUGACAUGAGUAGCGUUAAAGGGGGUGAAAAGCCCCCUCGCCGAAAGCGCAAGGUUUCCUACGCAACGUUCAUCGGCGUAGGGUGAGUCGGCCCCUAAGGCGAGGCAGAGAUGCGUAGCUGAUGGGAAACAGGUUAAUAUUCCUGUACCGAUCUAUGGUGCGAUGUGGGGACGGAGAAGGUUAGCUCAGCCAACUGUUGGAAUAGUUGGUUCAAGCAUGUAGGCGUGCUCUUUAGGCAAAUCCGGAGAGCUUAGCUGAGGUGUGAUAACGAGGCUGCUUGCAGCCGAAGUGAGUGAUACCCUGCUUCCAGGAAAAGCCACUAAGCUUCAGCCAUAGAUUGACCGUACCGCAAACCGACACUGGUGCGCGAGAUGAGUAUUCUAAGGCGCUUGAGAGAACUCUGGAGAAGGAACUCGGCAAAUUGACACCGUAACUUCGGAAGAAGGUGUGCCUUUAGUAGGUGAAGCCCCCGCGGGUGGAGCCCAAUGAGGUCGCAGAGAAUCGGUGGCUGCAACUGUUUAAUAAAAACACAGCACUCUGCAAAGACGAAAGUCGACGUAUAGGGUGUGACGCCUGCCCGGUGCUGGAAGAUUAAUUGAUGGGGUGCAAGCUCUUGAUCGAAGUCCCAGUAAACGGCGGCCGUAACUAUAACGGUCCUAAGGUAGCGAAAUUCCUUGUCGGGUAAGUUCCGACCUGCACGAAUGGCGUAAUGAUGGCCACACUGUCUCCUCCAGAGACUCAGCGAAGUUGAAAUGUUUGUGAUGAUGCAAUCUCCCCGCGGAAAGACGGAAAGACCCCAUGAACCUUUACUGUAGCUUUACAUUGGACUUUGAACAGAUCUGUGUAGGAUAGGUGGGAGGCUUUGAAGCCAGGACGCUAGUUCUGGUGGAGCCGACGUUGAAAUACCACCCUGGUGUGUUUGAGGUUCUAACCUUGGCCCGUUAUCCGGGUUGGGGACAGUGUAUGGUGGGCAGUUUGACUGGGGCGGUCUCCUCCCAAAGUGUAACGGAGGAGUUCGAAGGUACGCUAAAUACGGUCGGAAAUCGUGUUGAUAGUGCAUUGGCAUAAGCGUGCUUGACUGCGAGACUGACAAGUCGAGCAGGUACGAAAGUAGGACAAAGUGAUCCGGUGGUUCUGUAUGGAAGGGCCAUCGCUCAACGGAUAAAAGGUACUCUGGGGAUAACAGGCUGAUACCGCCCAAGAGUUCAUAUCGACGGCGGUGUUUGGCACCUCGAUGUCGGCUCAU
rnacentral:rRNA from 1 species